rnacentral:lncRNA from 1 species
AGUUUGCCAUUUUCCUCCAGACAAGUUCCUGUAUAUAGUUGCGUGUCUGCUGUUAUUGAUUUUUAUUUUGUCCAUUCCCUUGUCCAGCUAAGUGACCAGCUCAGCGUGAAAGCAUUCUGGCCCAUAUUGCACCUCUUGGGGACCCUGGUGGAAGCAGUCCCCAACGUGGCCCAUAGCCUGGUGACUCAGUAUGUGCCCUUGCUGGAGCAUCUGUGCUCAGCCUUGCUCUACCCAGAUGAAGCACUGAAGGCUUCAGUCCUGUACGUGUGGCUCAAACUGUUUGGGGGAUCGGCAGCCCAGUCUUUGCCCGUUGCCAUCAGGGACAGAGUGUGUAUCCUGUUGCUGCAGACCUUGGCCAAUGCAGGCUCCCCGCAGCUCAUCAAAAAUUGUGUUGGCCUGCUGUGGCUGUUGGUGCAGCUGGGAGAGGCCGUGUCAGUUAUGAUGAACAGCCCUGACACUCAGAUUGCGUGUGAUGAGAACCAGAGCAUCCACACCAGCAACGGCCAGCUCGUCUGCCAGAACCAAGAGCAACAGUCUCUGGACCACUGCCGUUUGCCCCUCAUACUGAAACAGGUCUCUGUCCAAACAUCCUGCUCCCACCCCCAAGACCUGCAUUCUAACGCUGACCGUAAUCAUAACAAGAAGUUCAAACCCUGGAUUAAUGUGCCUUUGAGUGGGGAUUUAGGAGGAUUUUACCCCGGACAAAUAUUUGCACUUCAUGUCUGGGACAUGAAUGUGUAGAUCACAUCUAGUUAUAUUGUCUCAGCCUCAACUGAUAUUAUCGUACAACUCAUGACGUUGGUAGUUAUUUUUUUAAGAAUCCUCCAAAUAAUGAAUGUGCUGUUUUUAAGAUCCAUC